AAGGAGAAGUCGUAACAAGGUUUCCGUAGGUGAACCUGCGGAAGGAUCAUUGUCGAUGCCUCACAAUCAGAUUGACCCGCGAACGUGUUUAAAAGAUAGUCGGGUGAAUUUGUGGCUCCACCAACCCCGGCGCAGUACGCGCCAAGGAAUAGAAAAUGAAAAGGGCGUGCUUUUCUUUCGGAAUGCAUUGCCUUCUUUCAAGAAUCAAAAUGACUCUCGGCAACGGAUAUCUCGGCUCUCGCAUCGAUGAAGAACGCAGCAAAAUGCGAUACUUGGUGUGAAUUGCAGAAUCCCGUGAAUCAUCGAGUUUUUGAACGCAAGUUGCGCCCGAAGCCUUUCGGCCAAGGGCACGCCUGCCUGGGUGUCACGCAUACGUCGCCCCAUCCUCUCGACACCUCGGGAGUCAUGGGAGCAGAAGUUGGCCUCCUGUGUGCCUUGCGCAUGUGGUUGGCCCAAAAUGCAUGUUCGCGGCAAAUGAUAGCCAUGACGAUCGGUGGUUGUAAAGACCCUCUGAAAAAGUCGUGCGCUGUUCUUAGCCGUCGGGACAUUCCUUGACCCUAGGGCGUCCUCAGGGCGCGCUCCGACCGCGACCCCAGGUCAGGCGGGACUACCCGCUGAG
rnacentral:rRNA from 1 species